AGCAGCCGCGGUAAUUCCAGCUCCAAUAGCGUAUAUUAAAGUUGUUGCAGUUAAAAAGCUCGUAGUUGAAUUUCGGGGUUAGUAAGUUGGUCAUGCCUCUGGUAUGCACUGGCUUUACUGAUUCCUCCUUCUUGAUGAACUGUAAUGUCAUUAAUUUGGUGUUGCAGGGAAUCAGGACUGUUACUUUGAAAAAUUAGAGUGUUUAAAGCAGGCAUACGCUUGAAUACAUUAGCAUGGAAUAAUGAAAUAGGACGUUUGAUCCUAUUUUGUUGGUUUCUAGGAUUGACGUAAUGAUUAAUAGGGAUAGUUGGGGGCAUUAGUAUUCAAUUGUCAGAGGUGAAAUUCUUGGAUUUAUUGAAGACUAACUACUGCGAAAGCAUUUGCCAAGGAUGUUUUCAUUAAUCAAGAACGAAAGUUAGGGGAUCGAAGACGAUCAGAUACCGUCGUAGUCUUAACCAUAAACUAUGCCGACUAGGGAUCGGAUGAUGUUAUUUUUAUGUACUCAUUC
rnacentral:rRNA from 1 species